rnacentral:rRNA from 1 species
GACGAACGCUGGCGGCGUGCUUAACACAUGCAAGUCGAACGGAAAGGCCCUGCUUUUGUGGGGUGCUCGAGUGGCGAACGGGUGAGUAACACGUGAGUAACCUGCCCUUGACUUUGGGAUAACUUCAGGAAACUGGGGCUAAUACCGGAUAGGAGCUCCUGCUGCAUGGUGGGGGUUGGAAAGUUUCGGCGGUUGGGGAUGGACUCGCGGCUUAUCAGCUUGUUGGUGGGGUAGUGGCUUACCAAGGCUUUGACGGGUAGCCGGCCUGAGAGGGUGACCGGCCACAUUGGGACUGAGAUACGGACCAGACUCCUACGGGAGGCAGCAGUGGGGAAUAUUGCGCAAUGGGCGGAAGCCUGAUGCAACAACGCCGCGUGCGGGAUGACGGCCUUCGGGUUGUAAACCGCUUUCGCCUGUGACGAAGCGUGAGUGACGGUAAUGGGUAAAGAAGCACCGGCUAACUACGUG